rnacentral:rRNA from 1 species
UACGGGGGGUGCAAGCGUUGUCCGGAAUCACUGGGCGUAAAGGGCGCGUAGGCGGCUCAUGAAGGCUGUGGUGAAAGUCCGGGGCUCAACCUCGGAUCGGCCGUGGCGACUCGUGGGCUGGAGCACUGUAGAGGCGGGUGGAAUUCCGGGUGUAGCGGUGGAAUGCGUAGAGAUCCGGAAGAACACCAGUGGCGAAGGCGGCCCGCUGGGCAGUGGCUGACGCUGAGGCGCGACAGCGUGGGGAGCAAACAGG